rnacentral:rRNA from 1 species
UGUCCGGAUUUACUGGGUGUAAAGGGUGCGUAGGCGGCUUUGCAAGUCAGAUGUGAAAUCUAUGGGCUCAACCCAUAAACUGCAUUUGAAACUGUAGAGCUUGAGUGAAGUAGAGGCAGGCGGAAUUCCCCGUGUAGCGGUGAAAUGCGUAGAGAUGGGGAGGAACACCAGUGGCGAAGGCGGCCUGCUGGGCUUUAACUGACGCUGAGGCACGAAAGCGUGGGUAGCAAACAGGAUUAGAUACCCUGGUAGUCCACGCUGUAAACGAUGAUUACUAGGUGUGGGGGG